ACGCUCGACACCUACGGGAUGCAGCAGUAGGGAAUCUUCCACAAUGGACGCAAGUCUGAUGGAGCAACGCCGCGUGAGUGAAGAAGGUUUUCGGAUCGUAAAGCUCUGUUGUUGGUGAAGAAGGAUAGAGGUAGUAACUGGCCUUUAUUUGACGGUAAUCAACCAGAAAGUCACGGCUAACUACGUGCCAACAGCCGCGGUAAUCUGAGCGGGCUGGCAAGGC
rnacentral:rRNA from 1 species